rnacentral:rRNA from 1 species
UACGUAGGGGGCUAGCGUUGUCCGGAAUCAUUGGGCGUAAAGAGCGUGUAGGCGGCCCGGUAAGUCCGCUGUGAAAGUCGGGGGCUCAACCCUCGAAUGCCGGUGGAUACUGUCGGGCUAGAGUGCGGAAGAGGGUCGUGGAAUCCAGGUGUAGUGGUGAAAUACGUAGAUAUCUGGAGGAACACCGGUGGCGAAGGCGGCGACCUGGUCCAAUACUGACACUCAUACACGAAAGCGUGGGGAUCAAACAGG